CAGUAGCCGCGGUAAUACGAAGGGGGCUAGCGUUGUUCGGAAUCACUGGGCGUAAAGGGUGCGUAGGCGGGAUCUUAAGUCAGGGGUGAAAUCCCGAGGCUCAACCUCGGAACUGCCUUUGAUACUGGGGUCCUUGAGUCCGGAAGAGGUAAGUGGAAUUCCGAGUGUAGAGGUGAAAUUCGUAGAUAUUCGGAAGAACACCAGUGGCGAAGGCGGCUUACUGGCUCAUUCUUGACGCUGAGGUGCGAAAGCGUGGGGAGCAAACAGGAUUAGAUACCCCUGUAGUCCCUGUCUCUUAUAC
rnacentral:rRNA from 1 species